UGCCCACCGAAAGUGAUUUAUAAGCACAGC
rnacentral:piRNA from 1 species